UACGGGGGGGGGCAAGCGUUGUUCGGAAUUACUGGGCGUAAAGGGCGCGUAGGCGGCCAGCGCAAGUCAGUUGUGAAAUCUCCGGGCUUAACUCGGAAAGGUCAACUGAUACUGCGCGGCUAGAGUGCGGAAGGGGCAACUGGAAUUCCUGGUGUAGCGGUGAAAUGCGCAGAUAUCGGGAGGAACACCCGUGGCGAAGGCGGUUCUACUGGAACGCAACUGACGCUGAGACGCGAAAGCGUGGGGAGCAAACAGG
rnacentral:rRNA from 1 species